CUGUGUAAUGCAGAACAUGUGACAGAGGUUACAUCGCAGGUGCAAAGGUGGAAAGGAGGAGGCCUGGCUGUAUCCGCUGAUUGGAAGUUCUGCUGCUGAAGCUUGUGCGGUGGCCAGAGCUGCACCACCCUCUCGCAUAUGGGCAGCUAAUUGAUAUUUUUGGGCAUGUUUGUCGGUCUUCAGAUGCAGCUGGAAAUUGGCCUUAAGCUGGGUGCUAUAGGAGCAGAGUCGGCAGCAGUGCAGGUCUCCUCUGACUUCUCUCCAUUCCCUCUCAGGUAGAGACCGGCCUCUACUAGCAUGAGAGAGUAAUCCCUCCAGACUAUCAGUAGUAAAGCUACGGCACACCAGACAGCGGAAGACACCAGGGGAAAGCUCUUCCUCAGUGCAAGAAGAUGAUGGAUCUGGUAGGGGUGGAGGUACAGGAAUGGACAUAGCAGAGGAACCUAAGUUACCUCAUAUUGGAUGAAGAAAGCUGAUGAAUAUACUUCAAGCUUUGGGCAGAGGCAGCCUUUUCAAAUUUGUGCUUCUUUGCAAUAACCACUGGUACUCCCAUAGUCCCCCUUUCAGGUCGUUCUCAACUCAUUUCAUGGCUCUUUAUCGUUUUUCCCAACACUUUUAUGUCAUUCAUUGUAAAUGACUGUUUUAUCUUACGUUCCUAUGCUUCCUGUAUCUCUCAUUAGGAAUUCUCUCACCUUUCCUGCAUUCUCUACCCAGGAACUCUCUUUUUCACCUUCUCCCUAAUUCCCUCAUCCUCACAGUACUACCAUAAUAUAGGUAGUACCUAAGUGUCAAAGGGACUAAGGUACAAAUAAGCACAGGGCACUGUGCCGAGGCCCACCCCAAUAUACAAUUUCCCCCCCAAAAUCUUUAGUGUCUUGCAAACUGCAGAACAUUUUCCUUCAGAAUAUGUAACUAUCUCUUGUCCUCUUGGCCCUUUUACAAAAUUUCUACUUAAAAAAAAAAAAAGUGUAAAUACUCAUGUAAUCAAUUGUUUUCUUUAUUUGUUCUUAAAUAAUAAACAACCUGCCAUGGUUUUUAUUUGACAUUAGAGUACUUUGUGCUGCUCAGUCUUAGGAAU